rnacentral:lncRNA from 1 species
GGCAAAGCUGACAGAGACCAGAAAGUGCCACCUUGACCCUGAGUCAUCCUCGAUCUGGGAUCAGCUUGGGUUGGUGAAAUGGACGAUCAUUUAACCAAACAACUAGCGUAAGGGCCACGUAAGGGGAAAAAAAGGUCAUUUAGUUAUUUUUUUAAAGUUAUCUGUUCCACAACAAAGUCGUGCCAUAUGGCAAUGUAUUGCUUCAAGCGUCAACAUAGCCAAAAACCGUCGUGUAUUUCAUGC